rnacentral:rRNA from 1 species
GAUGAACGCUGGCGGCGUGCCUAAUACAUGCAAGUCGAGAGAACCACUUCGGUGGUGAGCGGCGAACGGGUGAGUAACACGUAGGUGAUCUGCCCAUCAGACGGGGACAACGAUUGGAAACGAUCGCUAAUACCGGAUAGGACGAAAGUUUAAAGGUGCUUCUGGCACCGCUGAUGGAUGAGCCUGCGGCGCAUUAGCUAGUUGGUAGGGUAAAGGCCUACCAAGGCAACGAUGCGUAGCCGACCUGAGAGGGUGAACGGCCACACUGGGACUGAGACACGGCCCAGACUCCUACGGGAGGCAGCAGUAGGGAAUCUUCGGCAAUGGGCGAAAGCCUGAGCGAGCAACGCCGCGUGAAUGAUGAAGGCCUUCGGGUUGUAAAAUUCUGUUAUAAGGGAAGAACGACUUUAGCAGGAAAUGGCUAGAGUGUGACGGUACCUUAUGAGAAAGCCACGGCUAACUACGUGCCAGCCGCCGCAGUAA